rnacentral:rRNA from 1 species
UACGGAGGAUGCGAGCGUUAUCCGGAUUUAUUGGGUUUAAAGGGUGCGUAGGUGGAAGGAUAAGUCAGCGGUGAAAUCCCGGAGCUCAACUCUGGAACUGCCGUUGAAACUGUUUUUCUUGAGUGUGAACGAGGUAGGCGGAAUUCGUAGUGUAGCGGUGAAAUGCAUAGAUAUUACGAAGAACACCAAUGGCGCAGGCAGCUUACCAGGCCACAACUGACACUGAGGCACGAAAGUGUGGGUAUCAAACAGGAUUAGAUACCCUGGUAGUCCACACAGUAAACGAUGAAUACUAACUGUUUGCGAUACACAGUAAGCGGUACAGCGAAAGCGUUAAGUAUUCCACCUGGGGAGUACGCCGGCAACGGUGAAACUCAAAGGAAUUGACGGGGGCCCGCACAAGCGGAGGAACAUGUGGUUUAAUUCGAUGAUACGCGAGGAACCUUACCCGGGCUCGAACGGCUAAUGAGUACAGAUGAAAGUUUGUAGCCAGCAAUGGCAUUAGUCGAGGUGCUGCAGGGUUGUCGUCAGCUCGUGCCGUGAGGUGUCGGCUUAAGUGCCAUAACGAGCGCAACCCUUAUCGUUAGUUACCAUCAGGUCAUGCUGGGGACUCUGGCGAGACUGCCACCGUAAGGUGUGAGGAAGGUGGGGAUGACGUCAAAUCAGCACGGCCCUUACGUCCGGGGCGACACACGUGUUACAAUGGGGGGGACAAAGGGCAGCUACCUGGCGACAGGAUGCUAAUCUCCAAACCCUCUCCCAGUUCGGAUCGAAGUCUGCAACCCGACUUCGUGAAGCUGGAUUCGCUAGUAAUCGCGCAUCAGCCAUGGCGCAGUGAAUACGUUCCCGGGCCUU